GAUGAACGCUGGCGGCGUGCCUAUACAUGCAAGUCGAGCGAAUGGAUUAAGAGCUUGCUCUUAUGAAGUUAGCGGCGGACGGGUGAGUAACACGUGGGUAACCUGCCCAUAAGACUGGGAUAACUCCGGGAAACCGGGGCUAAUACCGGAUAACAUCUUGAACCGCAUGGUUCGAGAUUGAAAGGCGGCUUCGGCUGUCACUUAUGGAUGGACCCGCGUCGCAUUAGCUAGUUGGUGAGGUAACGGCUCACCAAGGCGUCGACGGGUAGCCGGCCUGAGAGGGUGACCGGCCACGCUGGGACUGAGACACGGCCCAGACUCCUACGAGAGGCAGCAGUAGGGAAUCUUCCGCAAUGGACGAAAGUCUGACGGAGCAACGCCGCGUGAGUGAUGAAGGCUUUCGGGUCGUAAAACUCUGUUGUUAGGGAAGAACAAGUGCUAGUUGAAUAAGCUGGCACCUUGACGGUACCUAACCAGAAAGCCACGGCUAACUACGUGCCAGCAGCCGCCGUAA
rnacentral:rRNA from 1 species